UACGUAGGAGGCAAGCGUUGUCCGGAUUUAUUGGGUUUAAAGGGUGCGUAGGCGGCCUAAUAAGUCAGUGGUGAAAGCCGACAGCUUAACUGUCGAACUGCCAUUGAUACUGCUAGGCUUGAGUACAAAUGAGGUAGGCGGAAUUGAUGAUGUAGCGGUGAAAUGCUUAGAUAUCAUCAAGAACACCGAUUGCGAAGGCAGCUUACUAAGAUGUAACUGACGCUGAGGCACGAAAGUGCGGGGAUCAAACAGG
rnacentral:ncRNA from 2 species